rnacentral:rRNA from 1 species
GUAGGUGGCAAGCGUUGUCCGGAAUUAUUGGGGCGUAAAGCGCGCGCAGGCGGUUCUUUAAGUCUGAUGUGAAAGCCCACGGGCUCAACCGUGGAGGGUCAUUGGAAACUGGAGAACUUGAGUACAGAAGAGGAAAGCGGAAUUCCACGUGUAGCGGUGAAAUGCGUAGAGAUGUGGAGGAACACCAGUGGCGAAGGUCGGCUUUCUGGUCUGUAACUGACGCUGAGGCGCGAAAGCGUGGGGAGCAAACAGGAUUAGAUACCCUGGUAGUCCACGCCGUAAACGAUGAGUGCUAAGUGUUAGGGGGUUUCCGCCCCUUAGUGCUGCAGCUAACGCAUUAAGCACUCCGCCUGGGGAGUACGGCCGCAAAGGCUG